CCCGGGGGCCAGCAGAAAAGCCACAGGCUUGCGAAAGCCUUCAAUGAGCUCUCAGUUGCAUCCUUGGCCAGUGAGAAACUUCAGCGGGCAAAAAAAAAAAACAAACCCCAGCGCCCCGAGUCCUUCACAGCUCAGAGCUUUGCUACGGGAUGACCAUGCGAGUGGCUGAUUCUGCUCCCUGAGCCCUAUGUCUUCUGCCUUCUUCUGCCUUCCCGAACUUCUUCGGGGCACGGCUUUUGCUGGUUUUUACUGUCAUCCUGAAACAUAAGCCUUCGAAAAUAAUAUUAUCUUACAAAAUCUCAGCAUAAUGCCAGCUCUUAUUAGAACUGAUGGCUGCUGUGGGUAAAAAAGAACAAAAUAAAUAAAAAUCGCAGUGUGUCCGUAGAGUCGAUAAAAAAUACCGGAGGAAGGUUUAUGCAAAGGCAACUUUUGAGGCAUGGGCAGAUGGAGUAGGCGAAAGGUGAAGUUUAUACAUUCUUUCCAAUUGGCUUGGCUGUGAUAAAGCCAGCAAAGGACUAGCUUUUUAUUCAGUGAUCAUUCUGAUCUAAAAUUCUUUCUGUACCAGCUACGUAACUGAAAUUUCUGGUUAUUAUAAGUGUGGGGGUGAAUUCUGCCCUCUGAUGUGUGCACAAGUUCCGUUUUCCUUUAGGAUCAUUUGGGUUAAUGUACAUGCAUGUCAGGGCAGAGUUUAAUAUUAUUCCUGUGGAACAGCGAACAACGUUAGGUCAGACACGCCGGUUUCAUUUAAUACUAAGCAUGUUUAAGAAGAAAUGUCAGAGUUCAGUUCCGCUGGCUCGUGAUGUAAGUCAGGAAUUACUGAAGCCAGACACCUACCCUGCUCUUACACCAGUUUUGCACUAGGAUUACUCCACUGAAAUAAAUCAGCUCUUUAACAGGAAUCCACCGUACUGACGUAUGAGCAGUUCAUAAACUUUAUGCAAACAAGGAAAUCAUGUUACACAGGAGCAGAACAUUCCUGCUGUAAUGCUGCCUCCAAGUCACCCCAACACAUGCCAAGCAAUUAUCACAUCCCAUUUCUGGAAGUUCCAGAGGCUUUCAGAAUUAUCCAGGUGUGCAAUCAGCUUGUGUAUAAGGAUAUACAUUCCAGAUAAUGAUCAUCACUUCAAUUACUACUUUUCUUGACUUUCUUUUCACUCAGGAAAGUCAUGUGCUACAAAAGAUGUAGGCUACAGGCAUAUAAUUAC
ensembl:lncRNA